UGCCUAGAACAUAGAGUUAAUGCAUUGGAUCCCAUUAGAAAUCCAUAGUUAAGUGCGCUCGGUCUAGAGUAGUACUGGGAUGGGUGACCACUCCGGAAGUACUAGCAUUUUACAUGC
rnacentral:rRNA from 1 species